AUUGAACGCUGGCGGCAGGCCUAACACAUGCAAGUCGAGCGAGCGGCGGACGGGUGAGUAAUGUAUGGGGACUGCCCGAUAGAGGGGGAUAACUACUGGAAACGGUGGCUAAUACCGCAUACUAUCGGAUAACCCAUAUGGGAUUAGCUAGUAGGUGGGGUAAAGGCUCACCUAGGCGACGAUCUCUAGCUGGUCUGAGAGGAUGAUCAGCCACACUGGGACUGAGACACGGCCCAGACUCCUACGGAGGCAGCAGUAAGGAAUAUUGGUCAAUGGACGAGAGUCUGAACCAGCCAAGUAGCGUGAAGGAUGACUGCCCUUGGGUUGUAAACUUCUUUUAUAUGGGAAUAUGUACCAUAUGAAUAAGGAUCGGCUAACUCCGUGCCAGCAGCCGCGGUAAUAC
rnacentral:rRNA from 1 species